CUCUUUAAGUCUCAUUUCCACGGUUCAUCCUUUUGUUUCUUCUUCUUUUACAAAACCGAACGCAUAAGAAAGAAUAGGGCAAGCGUACAACUUCAUUUCCUGGCAUCUUCCUGCUUCGGUUUCUCCAAAGAAAUCAAAGACAACAACCUUAAGAUCAUACCCCAAGUGAAAGCGCCUUGUAAGAAGCCUUAUUUGGUGAGAUAUUCCCCUUCCAUGGUUGCGACCUCAAGGCUGUCAAGGGAGCUCUAGUGGACUGCCUUCUUUAUUUCUUGUUGGAGAAAAUAUCCUAGCUUCUAGAGAAGUUAAUUAAGAGUGUAAUCAGAUGAAGUAGGUGGACGAACAACUUGUAGACAACCAAGUGUACGGGUUAUUAAAUAGCAAGUUAGCAGCAGGAAAGAGACGACAGGUAUCGCAGCAGUUGACGAUCGUUCUCGGGGCAAGAGGCUCGUGGUUGAUGAGUAGAUCUGAGCAUAGAUGUUGCCUGCUUAUUUUGGGAGUCUGUUGUAUAUAUUGUGACACUGUGAUGUAUUAUGUUUAUGUAGGUUGAUGUAGGAUGUUGUAGUUAUGGCACAGAGUCACCUUUUUGAUAUGAUAUAUAUAGAGUUAUGGAUCAUGUAUGUAUACUACUGUAUAUGAUAUGGAAUUGUUGUAUAUUGUGGGUUGUAAGAGCCCCAAGACAUUGCUGGUCCUUGUGU